UCGUCGCUCAGCGAGGCGGCGCUGGAGAAGUUGACGGGGGUCCCGUCGGCCGAGUCGGUGAAGGAGUCGUCGUCUUUGAAGAGGUCGCGGGCGGUGGCUCGCAGGUGUUUGGGGACGCCGGGGUGGGCGUGGGCCGGCACCAGCAUGUACACGGGGACGUGCAGCGGCUUCUUGGUCUGCGGGUGCAGCACCUGGCCGGACAGCAGCGAGGUCUUGACCUUGCGGAAGCGGGAGGGCAUGGCCGAGCUGAUGCACUCCUUGAGGAUCUCGAUGUCAUCGUCAUCGGGGGGCUCGGGGUGCUCGGCCCUUCGCCGGCCCUCCAGGUACCGCUCCUCCCGCCGCUCCUCCCGCUUCUCGUGAGCCGCGAAGUUCAGGCUGUUCUUCUCCGGGAAGGUGGGAAUCAGCUUGAGCUCCACGUCCUUCUGCACGUAGUGCUCGUGGAGGGGCAGGGCGCUCAGGCUGGAGGCGCACGAGAAGUUCUCGUUGGGUUUCUCCACCGUGAAGUAGACCAUGGAGUCCAGGUCCUGGGGCAGCUGGAAGCGUUCCUUGAAGUCGGUGAUCUCCAUGAACUUCUUGACGUUGUUCUCCCACUGGAUGUUGAACUGGCUGGUCUCCUUCUCCGGCUGGCAGCCCAGCUCGAAGAGGGGAGUCUUGCUGCGGCUGGGGGGCAUGGUCUGCCCGGGGCUGUCGGGCAGCUCGCUGGGGCUGAUGGUGCCGCUGAUCAUUUCACUGCACGGGUCGCUCUGGAUGGAGCUGGCGAUGGAGGGGCUCUCGAAGCUGCCCAGGGAGCUGACGGAGCUGCAGCGGCUCAUCACCAGCGGCGUCUCCUGGAUGUAAUUCUCCGAGGAGCUCGAGGGCGUCAGGUCCUCCUGGCGCGAGGGCGAGGCCUCCCGCAGGAAAACCUUGUCGCGCUUCGGGAAGGGGAUGGUGAUGGGCUGGGAGAUCCCCACCGGUGUGGUGGGACCAGGAUCCUUCUCCUUCUCCUGCCUCCCAUCCUCCCCUUCUGCCUCCCCUUCCUCCAUCUCCAGGAUCUCCAGGGAGGAGUCGCUGUCCAGGUCGUUCUCGCUGUGGCUCUGCCCAUCCAGCACGUUGUCUGCCGAGGAGAGGGAGGACAAGGAGCUGCACCGGGAGAAGCAGAUUGGGGUGUCCUCCACCGAGUACUUCUGCACCGACUCCUGCUCCGCCGAGGCCGGUGGCUGGGCCGGCAGCUUCUCCGGGAUCUUGCUCAGGGGCUCGGCCGCCUGCAGCAGCGCCGGGGGGAGCCAGGCUUGCUUCCUGCCCAGGAGGGAGGGCUGGUGGCCAGCAGCCGUGCUGCUCUUGGCCAGGGUCUCAAGCAUGGGCACAUGCUGGUAGGACGGAGAGAGCUUGAUGGUGCGAACAUGAGGGUCGGUGGGGGGCUUGGUGCCCACCUCCUUCGUCCACUCCAUCUCCUUCUCCGGCACCUUGGGGCUGGGGAAAGUCACCACCUUCUUGGCCCGUUCGGGCAGGUCCCGCUGCUCGGGUUUGUCCUGCUCGGCCGGGUCCCGCGCGGGGGGCUCGGCCCGCUCCGGUUUGCCCAGGAUGCUCUUGAGGUCGAGCCGGCUGGGCCGCUUCUGGUAGCGCUGCAGCUCGUCACGAUAGUCCAGGAAGGCAGCCCUGGGGCAGGGCUUCAUGUGCUCCUUGGUGCAGUAGCCGUCGCUGGUGCUGCCGCUGUUGAGGCUGUCGGUGCUCAGGCUGGUGCAGGCCGUCUUCAGCCGCA
ensembl:lncRNA